rnacentral:rRNA from 1 species
CCCUUAGAUGUUCGGGGCCGCACGCGCGCUACACUGACGAAUGCAACGAGCUUAUAACCUUGGCCGAAAGGUCUGGGUAAUCUCCAAAUUUCGUCGUGAUGGGGAUAGAUUAUUGCAAUUAUUAAUCUUCAACGAGGAAUGCCUAGUAAGCGCAAGUCAUCAGCUUGCGUUGAUUACGUCCCUGCCCUUUGUACACACCGCCCGUCGCUCCUACCGAUUGAAUGGUCCGGUGAAGCGUUCGGACCGUGGCCUUUGGACGGUUCGCCGUCUGUUGGCUGCGGGAAGUUCGUUAAACCUUNUNAUUUAGNGGAAGGAGAANUCGUANCA